rnacentral:rRNA from 1 species
UACGAAGGGUGCAAGCGUUACUCGGAAUUACUGGGCGUAAAGCGUGCGUAGGUGGUUUUUUAAGUCCGUUGUGAAAGCCCUGGGCUCAACCUGGGAAUGGCAGUGGAUACUGGAAAGCUAGAGUGCGGUAGAGGGUAGUGGAAUUCCCGGUGUAGCAGUGAAAUGCGUAGAGAUGCGGAGGAACACCGAUGGCGAAGGCAGCCCCCUGGGCUGACACUGACGCUCAGGCACGAAAGCGUGGGGAGCAAACAGG